UCAACUGAUUUGAAGAGCUUGCUCAGAUAUGACGAUGGACAUUGCAAAGAGUGGCGAACGGGUGAGUAACACGUGGGAAACCUACCUCUUAGCAGGGGAUAACAUUUGGAAACAGAUGCUAAUACCGUAUAACAAUGACAACCGCAUGGUUGUUAUUUAAAAGAUGGUUCUGCUAUCACUAAGAGAUGGUCCCGCGGUGCAUUAGCUAGUUGGUAAGGUAAUGGCUUACCAAGGCGAUGAUGCAUAGCCGAGUUGAGAGACUGAUCGGCCACAAUGGGACUGAGACACGGCCCAUACUCCUACGGGAGGCAGCAGUAGGGAAUCUUCCACAAUGGGCGAAAGCCUGAUGGAGCAACGCCGCGUGUGUGAUGAAGGGUUUCGGCUCGUAAAACACUGUUGUAAGAGAAGAAUGACAUUGAGAGUAACUGUUCAAUGUGUGACGGUAUCUUACCAGAAAGGAACGGCUAAAUACGUGCCAGCAGCCGCGGUAAUACGUAUGUUCCAAGCGUUAUCCGGAUUUAUUGGGCGUAAAGCGAGCGCAGACGGUUAUUUAAGUCUGAAGUGAAAGCCCUCAGCUCAACUGAGGAAUUGCUUUGGAAACUGGAUGACUUGAGUGCAGUAGAGGAAAGUGGAACUCCAUGUGUAGCGGUGAAAUGCGUAGAUAUAUGGAAGAACACCAGUGGCGAAGGCGGCUUUCUGGACUGUAACUGACGUUGAGGCUCGAAAGUGUGGGUAGCAAACAGGAUUAGAUACCCUGGUAGUCCACACCGUAAACGAUGAGUGCUAGGUGUUUGAGGGUUUCCGCCCUUAAGUGCCGCAGCUAACGCAUUAAGCACUCCGCCUGGGGAGUACGACCGCAAGGUUGAAACUCAAAGGAAUUGACGGGGACCCGCACAAGCGGUGGAACAUGUGGUUUAAUUCGAAGCAACGCGAAGAACCUUACCAGGUCUUGACAUCCCUUGACAACUCCCAAAAUGGAGCGUUCCCUUCGGGGACAAGGUGACAGGUGGUGCAUGGUUG
rnacentral:rRNA from 1 species